UGCCGAAGAGGCUACCAUCGAAUGGUCAGCGAGUCCUCCCGAACCUCCUAACACCAAUGACGUUUGUCUACCACGAAGGGCCUGACAAACUCAUAAGGACCACCUGCCGAAGAGGCUACCAUCGAAUGGUCAGCAAGUCCUCCCGAACCUCCUAACACCAAUGACGUUUUCCUACCACGAAGGGCCUGACAAACUCAUAAG
rnacentral:lncRNA from 1 species